rnacentral:rRNA from 1 species
UUUUCGGCAAUGGGCGCAAGCCUGACCGAGCAACGCCGCGUGGAGGAUGACGGCUUUCGGGUUGUAAACUCCUUUUGGGUGGGACGAUAAUGACGGUACCAUCCGAAUCAGACCCGGCGAACUACGUGCCAGCAGCCGCGGUAAUACGUAGGGGUCGAGCGCCGUCCGGACUUACUGGGCGGAAAGCGUGGGUAGGUGGCCACUGAUGUGCCGUGUGAAAGCGCCGCGCUUCUCGCGGCGAGGUCGCGAUAGACACAGUGGCUCGAGGCACGGAGAGGGGCGUAGAAUUCCCGGUGUAGUGGUGAAAUGCGUAGAUAUCGGGAGGAAUACCAGUGGCGCAAGCGGCGCCCUGGCCGUGACCUGACACUGAGCCACGACGGCGUGGGGAGCAAAC